GAAUAUUGGACAAUGGGCGAAAGCCUGAUCCAGCAAUGCCGCGUGAGUGAUGAAGGCCCUCGGGUCGUAAAGCUCUUUUACCAGGGAUGAUAAUGACAGUACCUGGAGAAUAAGCCCCGGCCAACUCCGUGCCAGCAGCCGCGGUAAUACGGAGGGAGCUAGCGUUGUUCGGAAUUACUCGGCGUAAAGCGCACGUAGGCGGCUACUCAAGUCAGAGGUGAAAGCCCGGGGCUCAACCCCGGAACUGCCUUUGAAACUAGGUGGCUAGAAUCUUGGAGAGGUCAGUGGAAUUCCGAGUGUAGAGGUGAAAUUCGUAGAUAUUCGGAAGAACACCAGUGGCGAAGGCGACUGACUGGACAAGUAUUGACGCUGAGGUGCGAAAGCGUGGGGAGCAAA
rnacentral:rRNA from 1 species